CCUCAGGUGGCUCAGAUGGUAAAGCGUCUGCCUGCAAUGCAGGAGACCCGGGUUCGAUUCCUUGGUCAGGA
rnacentral:tRNA from 1 species